UACGUAGGUGGCAAGCGUUGUCCGGAUUUAUUGGGCGUAAAGGGAACGCAGGCGGUCUUUUAAGUCUGAUGUGAAAGCCUUCGGCUUAACCGAAGUCGUGCAUUGGAAACUGGAGGACCUGAGUGCAGAAGAGGAGAGUGGAACUCCAUGUGUAGCGGCGGAAUGCGUAGAUAUAUGGAAGAACACCAGUGGCGAAAGCGGCUCUCUGGUCUGUAACUGACGCUGAGGUUCGAAAGCGUGGGUAGCAAAC
rnacentral:rRNA from 1 species